rnacentral:misc_RNA from 1 species
UCCGGUUUGUCACCGGCAGUCUCCCUAGAGUGCCCUUGCGUAGCAACUAGGGACAAGGGUUGCGCUCGUUGCGGGACUUAACCCAACAUCUCACGACACGAGCUGACGACAGCCAUGCAGCACCUCGACUACAGUCUCUUGCGAGAAGUCCCUGUUUCCAAGGAUUGUCCAUAGCCGUUCGAGCCCAGGUAAGGUUCUUCGCGUUGCGUCGAAUUGAACCACAUGCUCCACCGCUUGUGCGGGCCCCCGUCAAUUCAUUUGAGUUUUAACCUUGCGGCCGUACUCCCCAGGCGGGAUACUUAAUGCGUUAGCUUCGCCACGACUGGAUUCAAUCCCAGUCACAGCAAGUAUCCAUCGUUUAGGGCUAGGACUAC